CCUACGGGAGGCAGCAGUGGGGAAUAUUGCACAAUGGGGGAAACCCUGAUGCAGCAACGCCGCGUGAAGGAAGACGGUUUUCGGAUUGUAAACUUCUGUUCUUAGUGAAGAAUAAUGACGGUAGCUAAGGAGCAAGCCACGGCUAACUACGUGCCAGCAGCAGCGGUAAUCCGUAGGGGGCAAGCGUUGUCCGGAAUUACUGGGUGAAAAUGAAGCGAAGGCGGGAAGCCAAGUCAGCUGUGAAAACCACGGGCUUAACAUGUAGACUGCAGUUGAAACUGGUUUUCUUGAGUGAAGUAGAGGUUGGCGGAAUUCCGAGUGUAGCGGUGAAAUGCGUAGAUAUUCGGAGGAACACCGGUGGCGAAGGCGGCCAACUGGGCUUUAACUGACGUUGAGGCGCGAAAGCGUGGGGAGCAAACAGGAUUAGAUACCCUAGUAGUC
rnacentral:rRNA from 1 species